rnacentral:rRNA from 1 species
UACUAGAGUAGCACUCGCAUAUCAAUAAGCGGAGGAAAAGAAGCUAACAAGGAUUCCCCUAGUAACGGCGAGUGAAGCGGGAAGAGCUCAAAUUUGAAAUCUUAAAGGGUUUCCCUUUACGAAUUGUAGUUUAAAGAGGUGUUUUCUGUUGAGGUUUUGGUAAAAGUUCUUUGGAAUAGGACAUCAUAGAGGGUGAGAAUCCCGUAUUUGACCUUUACUUUCAACUUUGUGAUACACUUUCAAAGAGUCGGAUUGUUUGGGAAUGCAGUCCAAAAUGGGUGGUAAAUUUCAUCUAAAGCUAAAUAUUGGCGAGAGACCGAUAGCGAACAAGUACCGUGAGGGAAAGAUGAAAAGAACUUUGAAAAGAGAGUUAAACAGUACGUGAAAUUGUCAAAAGGGAAGCGUUUGACACCAGUGUUGUUUUUCUGAAAAUCAAUUAAAGAACUGUUUAUGCCAAGCUGUUUAGACUUUAUCAGCUAUCUGUUUAGUUUUGAGCUUUUCUUUAAUGCACUUUUCAGUUAACAAGUCAACAUCAAUUUCUUUUGCUGUAAAAAAGCUUGAGGAAGGUGGCUUGAGAUUCGUCUUAAGUGUUUAUAGCCUCUUGCCUAUGCAGUCGGAGAGAUUGAGGUCUGCAGCGUAGAUCCUUCGGGGCUAAAUGCAUUUGUGCUGAGUUAUAGCAUUUUAUAGACAACUUGUUGACUAUGAUUUGUCUGUAGCUUACUCGCUUAUGUUAUUUUACCUACGCUUAGGAUGUUGAGUAGCGACAUACGCAC